GGAGGCCCAGACUGCUCUCAAAGUCACAUUUUGGGGUGACCACUCUACCUGGGAAUAUCUGAGGACAUGAUCACCAGCCUCCAAGAUGGUGCCAAAGUUCUCACUUCUUGAUACUCAUACCCUGGCAUGAAACGAGAAGUCCAGCUGCCAUAUUGUCGGCAGCUCUAGGAAAAGGAAGGAAGAGGUGAGAAGCUGAGGUCUCCAGCCAAAGCCAUUGUGGAACUGUAACAGGGUUGUCCCCAGGAAAGGGGGAGGUUCUCUGCCCCACCCAAGGGAGGGUGGAGCUGAGCAGAAAGAGGAGAAGCAGCAGAAGAGACUGAGGAAGGAAGCAGGAUGGAGCCAGGAGACCUGGAGGAGGCGCAUGGAGCCUAGAGACACGUGAAGAAGCUGCGCUUGCCUUUUGGUCGUGGACUGGGUGACACAGAUGUGGGUGAGACCCGUGGGGAGGUGACAAUAGCAGCUUUUAUCUUGAUGUUGAUUUUGCUCUUUUCCUUCUGGGCUUGUCUGGUUGUUUCUGACCCUUUGCUGUGGGUCCCCACUGGAAGAUGCUUUAGACUUGUGGCAGGCUUUGGGGCCUUGCUCUGGGCCAAUCCCAUUUGGAUGGACUUUUACCCACGAGGGGACGGGUAACUUUGGGUUGUUGAUUUAGAAACUAGACUCUUUGCCUUUCCUGUAUUGUUUCCUAGUUGUA